CAAUUCAGUCACAAUGCAGUAAACCACAGAUAGCAGUGACUUGCUGUCUCGGCUGCCCAACAGUCUUCAGAAGUGGUUCAGAUAGUAAAGUCACUGACACUGUUUCCUAAUUAAAAGUAAAUGUAACUAAUGGCCUAAAAAUGAGCCACUAUCAGUUGUUUCUUCUUGGCCUCCUCAUAUCUGCUAAAAUGGUUUCUCAAGUUGCUUACAAAUAUACAGUAGUUGUGGUCAACAGUCAAUAUCAGUGUUGAACCUAUAUCAUAUCGCAAGUAACCAUAGCAACAGUACUAAAGAGUUUGAGUCUGAGAUUCUUAUGCAGCACCACAAAUAUCAAAUACUCAAGGAACAUACGUGCACUCUCUUGUACAAUGGGGUCUGUACAACUUCCAUAAGUGACUAGUCGGCAUGACUAGCUUGAACUCAGCUGUGACCGGCAAGGUAAGGCUGGCAGUUAAGGUGCAGGGACAUCACAGCAACAGAGACAAUAGAGUACACAGAGAGAAGAUAAAGGUCCGGCUGGGGAAAGAGGAAGAAGAUGUACAACAUUAACCAUGAACCAGGUUAACUUAACUUGAGACCUCAACACUGCAGAGGAAUGCAUAAACAAUGGAUCAGAGAAAACUGGGGCUUAACAUAGACACCCUGCUACAUAUAGUCAGUCAUCUGUUGAGA